CCUACGGGCGGCUGCAGUGGGGAAUAUUGCACAAUGGGCGCAAGCCUGAUGCAGCCAUGCCGCGUGUGUGAAGAAGGCCUUCGGAUUGUAAAGCACUUUCAGCGGGGAGGAAGGCGUUAAGGUUAAUAACCUUGGCGAUUGACGUUACCCGCAGAAGAAGCACCGGCUAACUCCGUGCCAGCAGCCGCGGUAAUACGGAGGGUGCAAGCGUUAAUCGGAAUUACUGGGCGUAAAGCGCACGCAGGCGGUCUGUCAAGUCGGAUGUGAAAUCCCCGGGCUCAACCUGGGAACUGCAUUCGAAACUGGCAGGCUAGAGUCUUGUAGAGGGGGGUAGAAUUCCAGGUGUAGCGGUGAAAUGUGUAGAGAUCUGGAGGAAUACCGGUGGCGAAGGCGGCCCCCUGGACAAAGACUGACGCUCAGGUGCGAAAGCGUGGGGAGCAAACAGGAUUAGAUACCCUUGUAGUC
rnacentral:rRNA from 1 species